rnacentral:rRNA from 1 species
AGAGUUUGAUCCUGGCUCAGGAUGAACGCUAGCUACAGGCUUAACACAUGCAAGUCGAGGGGAAACGACAUCGAAAGCUUGCUUUUGAUGGGCGUCGACCGGCGCACGGGUGAGUAACGCGUAUCCAACCUGCCCACCACUUGGGGAUAACCUUGCGAAAGUAAGACUAAUACCCAAUGACGUCUCUAGAAGACAUCUGAAAGAGAUUAAAGAUUUAUCGGUGAUGGAUGGGGAUGCGUCUGAUUAGCUUGUUGGCGGGUAACGGCCACCAAGGCGACGGAUCAGUAGGGGUUCUGAGAGGAAGGGUCCCCCACAUUGGAACUGAGACACGGUUCCAAAACUCCUACGGAGGCA